rnacentral:rRNA from 1 species
GACGAACGCUGGCGGCGUGCUUAACACAUGCAAGUCGAACGCGCCUGUCCUCUGGGUUUCUGGGGGGUGGGUGAGUGGCGUACGGGUGAGUCACACGUGAGUAACCUGCCCCCUUCUUCGGGAUAACGUUCUGAAAGGGCUGCUAAUACCGGGUAUUCACUGGUCUCCGCAUGGGGUUUGGUGGAAAGGUUUUUUUCUGGUGGGGGGGGGGUUCGCGGCCUAUCAGCUUGUUGGUGGGGGGAUGGCCCAUCAAGGCUUUGCCGGGUAGCCGGCCUGAGAGGGGGAGCGGUCACAUUGGGACUGGGAAACGGCCGAGAGUGAUACGGGAGGGAGCAGUGGGGAAUAUUGCAGAAGGGGAGCAAGCGUGAUGCAGCGACGCCGCGUGAGGGAUGGAGGCCUGCGGGUUGUAAACCUCUGGCGCGCGUGGUCAAGCCGCGACGGGAGUCGUGGUGACGGUAGUGGGUGAAGAAGCGCCGGCUAACUACGUG